UCGACCAGUUUUGCUGUUCCCUUCAUCUAAAAGUCCUGUUAUGGGAGCGCUUGGUGUGUGAAGGUUUAGAAGGUGAAGAACUUGGAAAUGGUGAUUCGGUGAGGAGUGUUGUGAUGUUUUCCAGGUUUCCCAAGGGGACGCUACUGAGAAGCUGGCUCACCAAGUCCCGCCCCAGACUACUGCUGCUCAUUGCUGGCUUGAAGAGGCCUCAGGUUACCCUCAUGCGCAGGAAAAGGAUGAAACGCACCAAAGUAGCAAAGGCCACGUAAGCGAACCUGCAGUCGUAUGCCGCAUUUCACUUGAGUCGCUGACACAGAGAGAAGCUCCAUCUGACGUCGACAUGAACGCAGAUCCAGAAACAGAGAAAGCAUCUCAGUCGUCUCGGCCAAACAUACGAACUAAACGCCAAAGCAGAGGCAGAAGAGGCUCAGAGUUUGUGAAAAUGAGGGAUCUUCCACAAAGAUCCAGACCCCCCGACUAAGAUCUGGAGCCUCACAGUGACAUUUGUUCAUCUUUCUCUCAAAUACACAUCUGUCAUGCUUCAGUUCA